GGUUUCGUGGUGUAGUAAGUUAUCACACUAGUCUAACACACUGGUCGUCCCCGCUUCGAGCCUGGGCGAAAUCA